rnacentral:rRNA from 1 species
UACGGAGGGUGCAAGCGUUGUCCGGAAUUAUUGGGCGUAAAGAGCUCGUAGGCGGUUUGUCGCGUCUGCUGUGAAAACUCGGGGCUUAACUCCGGGCCUGCAGUGGGUACGGGCAGACUAGAGUGCGGUAGGGGAGAUUGGAAUUCCUGGUGUAGCGGUGAAAUGCGCAGAUAUCAGGAGGAACACCGGUGGCGAAGGCGGGUCUCUGGGCCGUAACUGACGCUGAGGAGCGAAAGCGUGGGGAGCGAACAGG